rnacentral:rRNA from 1 species
GACGAACGCUGGCGGCGUGCUUAACACAUGCAAGUCGAACGGAAAGGCCCUGCUUGCAGGGUACUCGAGUGGCGAACGGGUGAGUAACACGUGGGUGAUCUGCCCUGCACUUCGGGAUAAGCCUGGGAAACUGGGUCUAAUACCGGAUAGGAGCCAUUUUUAGUGUGAUGGUUGGAAAGUUUUUUCGGUGUAGGAUGAGCUCGCGGCCUAUCAGCUUGUUGGUGGGGUAAUGGCCUACCAAGGCGGCGACGGGUAGCCGGCCUGAGAGGGUGGACGGCCACAUUGGGCCUGGGAUACGGCCCAGACUCCUACUGGAGGCAGCAGUGGGGAAUAUUGCACAAUGGGCGCAAGCCUGAUGCAGCGACGCCGCGUGGGGGAUGACGGCCUUCGGGUUGUAAACUCCUUUCGCUAGGGACGAAGCUUUUUGUGACGGUACCUAGAUAAGAAGCACCGGCUAACUACGUG